rnacentral:rRNA from 1 species
AGCUCCAAUAGCGUAUAUUUAAGUUGUUGCAGUUAAAAAGCUCGUAGUUGGAUUUCGGAGUCGGGCGACCGGUCCGCCGUUUCGGUGUGCACUGGUCCGACCCGUCUUUUUCUGUCGGGGACGCGCGCUCCUUCAUUGGGGACGCGGAGUCGGCGCUGUUACUUUGAAAAAAUUAGAGUGUUCAAGGCAGGCUUACGCUCUGAAUACUAUAGCAUGGAAUAACGCGAUAGGACUCCGGGCCUAUUUCGUUGGUCUUCGGGACCGGAGUAAUGAUUAAGAGGGACAGUUGGGGGCAUUUGUAUUCCGGUGUCAGAGGUGAAAUUCUUGGAUUUCCGGAAGACAAACUUCUGCGAAAGCAUUUGCCAAGGAUGUUU